AACGCACAUUGCGCCCAUUAGUAUUCUAGUGGGCAUGCCUGUUCGAGCGUCAUUUCAACCCUUAAGCCUAGCUUAGUGUUGGGAAUCUGCUGUAUUGCAGUUCCUCAAAUACAACGGCGGAUCUGUAACAUCCUCUGAGCGUAGUAAAUUUUUAUCUCGCUUUUGUUAGGUGUUGCAGCUCUCAGCCGCUAAACCCCCAAUUUUUGUGGUUGACCUCGGAUCAGGUAGGAAUACCCGCUGAACUUAA
rnacentral:misc_RNA from 1 species